UACGUAGGGUGCGAGCGUUAAUCGGAAUUACUGGGCGUAAAGUGUGCGCAGGCGGCAGAGCAAGUCGAGUGUGAAAGCCCCGGGCUUAACUUGGGAAUUGCGCUCGAAACUACUUUGCUGGAGUGUGGCAGAGGAAGGUGGAAUUCCACGUGUAGCGGUGAAAUGCGUAGAGAUGUGGAGGAACACCACUGGCGAAGGCAGCCUUCUGGGCCAACACUGACGCUCAUGCACGAAAGCGUGGGGAGCAAACAGG
rnacentral:rRNA from 1 species